rnacentral:rRNA from 1 species
AACGAACGCUGGCGGCAUGCCUAACACAUGCAAGUCGAACGAGUGCCUUCGGGUGCUAGUGGCGCACGGGUGCGUAACGCGUGGGAACCUGCCUUUUGGUUCGGAAUAACAGUGAGAAAUUACUGCUAAUACCGGAUGAUGUCUACGGACCAAAGAUUUAUCGCCAUUAGAUGGGCCCGCGUAGGAUUAGGUAGUUGGUGGGGUAAAGGCCUACCAAGCCGACGAUCCUUAGCUGGUCUUAGAGGAUGAUCAGCCACACUGGGACUGAGACACGGCCCAGACUCCUACGGGAGGCAGCAGUGGGGAAUAUUGGACAAUGGGCGCAAGCCUGAUCCAGCAAUGCCGCGUGAGUGAUGAAGGCCUUAGGGUUGUAAAGCUCUUUUACCCGGGAUGAUAAUGACAGUACCGGGAGAAUAAGCCCCGGCUAACUCCGUGCCAGCCGCCGCCGUAA